rnacentral:rRNA from 1 species
GGGGAAUAUUGCACAAUGGGCGCAAGCCUGAUGCAGCCAUGCCGCGUGUAUGAAGAAGGCCUUCGGGUUGUAAAGUACUUUCAGUGGGGAGGAAGGCGAAGAGGUUAAUAACCUUUUCGAUUGACGUUACCCGCAGAAGAAGCACCGGCUAACUCCGUGCCAGCAGCCGCGGUAAUACGGAGGGUGCAAGCGUUAAUCGGAAUUACUGGGCGUAAAGCGCACGCAGGCGGUCUGUCAAGUCGGAUGUGAAAUCCCCGGGCUCAACCUGGGAACUGCAUUCGAAACUGGCAGGCUAGAGUCUUGUAGAGGGGGGUAGAAUUCCAGGUGUAGCGGUGAAAUGCGUAGAGAUCUGGAGGAAUACCGGUGGCGAAGGCGGCCCCCUGGACAAAGACUGACGCUCAGGUGCGAAAGCGUGGGGAGCAAAC